rnacentral:rRNA from 1 species
UACGUAGGGGGCUAGCGUUGUCCGGAUUUAUUGGGCGUAAAGAGCGUGUAGGCGGCCAGGUAGGUCUGCUGUGAAAACUCGAGGCUCAACCUCGAGACGUCGGCGGAAACCAUCUGGCUAGAGUCCGGAAGAGGAGAGUGGAAUUCCUGGUGUAGCGGUGAAAUGCGCAGAGAUGUGGAGGAACACCAGUGGCGAAGGCGACUCUUUGGCCUGUAACUGACGCUGAGGCGCGAAAGCGUGGGGAGCAAACAGG